rnacentral:rRNA from 1 species
UACGGGGGGAGCAAGCGUUGUUCGGAUUUACUGGGCGUAAAGGGCGCGUAGGCGGCCACCGCAAGUCGACUGUGAAAUCUCCGGGCUUAACCCGGAAAGGUCAGCCGAUACUGCGGGGCUAGAGUGCAGAAGGGGCAACUGGAAUUCUCGGUGUAGCGGUGAAAUGCGCAGAUAUCAGGAAGAACACCCGUGGCUAAGGCGGCUCUCUAAUACGGUACUGACGCUGAGACGCGAAAGCGUGGGGAGCGAACAGG